ensembl:lncRNA
ACCAUCAGGUGUCCCAUCAGUUAUCCCACCACGUAUCCCAUUAGGUGAACCAUCAGGUGUCCCAUCAGUUAUCCCACCAUGUAUCCCAUGAGGUGAACCAUCAGGUGUUCCAUCAGUUAUCCCACCACGUAUCCCAUGAGGUGAACCAUCAGGUGUCCCAUCAGUUAUUCCACCACGUAUCCCAUCAGGUGAACCAUCUGUGUCCCAUCAGUUAUCCCACCACAUAUCCCAUUAGGUGAACCAUCUGUGUCCCAUCAGUUAUCCCACCACAUAUCCCAUUAGGUGAACCAUCAGGUGUCCCAUCAGUUAUCCCACCACGUAUCCCAU